GAGGAUAUAGCUCAGUGAUAGAGUGCAUGCUUAGCAUGCAUGAGGUCCUGGGUUCAAUUCCAAGUACCUCCA
rnacentral:tRNA from 1 species